ACGGGUGAGUAACACGGUGGGUAACCUACCUAUAAGACUGGGAUAACUUCGGGAAACCGGAGCUAAUACCGGAUAAUAUUUCGAACCGCAUGGUUCGAUAGUGAAAGGUGGUUUUGCUAUCACUUAUAGAUGGACCCGCGCCGUAUUAGCUAGUUGGUAAGGUAACGGCUUACCAAGGCGACGAUACGUAGCCGACCUGAGAGGGUGAUCGGCCACACUGGAACUGAGACACGGUCCAGACUCCUACGGGAGGCAGCAGGC
rnacentral:rRNA from 1 species